rnacentral:lncRNA from 1 species
ACAAUGCACUGGACAUAUCCGAGCCCCACUCCUGUUCCUGCUCUGAAUGGGUCUCAUAUGAUGUAAUGCAUGCAGGAGGGCUGAAAUGUCGGUGGUGGGAAGGGAAGUCGGUUAAUGUAAUGAUUAAUAGUGAGCUAUUUCACAGUGACACUUCACUAAGGUUAACCUGAAUGGAAUGCUUGUCCCUUUAAGGAUGGAAAGCUUUUCCAUUAUAUCAUUAACCACAACAAGUUGUUGUGAUCAAAGUAUUACCCUUUUUUCCAUUCAAAAUCUUUGCAGCGCUCAUCACUCAUUAUGAAAGCAAGAGCGAACUCCCACAGCGUCUGUUCGGCGAUUUCGAUGUACAUUUCAAAGGUUUCAAAACUCGAUUUUUAGCCAAAUGAAAAAAGGACCAAAAUUCUGUUUUGACGCGAAUGCAAAUGAAUGCAAAAGUAAAAAAUCCCCCUUUCUGCAGAGCUAUCUCUGUUCUGUUUACCUACUAGCUGAACAUUGAGAGAUUGAAAGUCCCCUUUUGGUAUUCCCCUGCAAAAGGAGAACAAAAUCAAAUAUCCAAACUAACUGUAAGGGUCUCAGUGGGGCACAUUUGAGCACUAAAACCGCUCCUUUCAAUCGAUUAACAGUAAAUGAACGACUUCAGUCACUUUCAGUUGGUUAUCCUGCUUUUGGGUGGGAGGAAAAGACUGAGGUUGGGGACAGUCUUUUCAUCUGAACCUCCCACGGUCAUCACCCACACUGUCUCUGUGGGCAGAGGUUUGUCUUUUCUGGUGUAUCGCUUCUCAUUCUUUAACAGCAUUUCUCUUUUUACUGACUCUAUCUAUCCCAGAAGAUAAUUUUAUAGCUCAAAGGUUGUUCUUCAGAUGAAAUAGGGGCUCAACAAUAAAGAUUUUCUUCUGCUGGCCCAAUUGCGCCACUAGUCCGGAUUUCUGCUUGCCCUGCCAAUGUCUUCACUGGUCUCAAACUCAAUAAAAAAAAAAUUAUGCAUUUUAUUUAUAGAGUUUUGAAUUUGUAUAAUUUAAAAUGUAUAAUUUUACAUUUAAAAGUAUAUAUUUUAUAUUUUAUCAUUUAAUAUGUAUUUUAAAAAAUACUUUAAAGAUAUUUUAGGUCAUUUUCAGCAGAUGUAAAGUUUUCUUUGGAAAGAUAUUAAAAUGUCUUUAAAUAUUUAUUUAAAUAUUUUAAAUAUUAAAAUAUUUAUGUUACAAAAUAUUUCACAUACAUGUUUUUUUUUUUUCUGAAAAUCUCUCAAUUUUAAAUUGGAGCAUGGUUUUAACAUUGAUAAUAAUAAAUGUUUGUGCACCAAAUAAGAAUAUUAGAAUGAUUUCUGAAGGAUGAUGUGGCACUGAAGACUAGAAUAAUGGCUGCUGAAAACUCAGCUUUGCAUCACAGAAAUAAAUUACAUUUUAUAAUGUAUUAAAAUAGAAAAACAAUUAUUUUGAAUUGGAAUAAUAUUUCACAGUAUUACUGUUUUUACUGUAUGUUAUGAUCAGGCAAAUGCAUCCUUGGUAAGCAUAUGUGACUUCUUUCAAAAACAUAAAUGUUAUGACCCCAAACAUUUGAACGGUAAUGCACAUACCAAAAAAUACUCAUUGUCUAAUAUUUUUCCUCGUAAAAUUUAAUUAAUUCUUACUGAUGCUACCAAGACUGUAACAAGUCAUUCUUGCAACUUCAACCAAACCUUAUUUGAAUGAGCCGGUUAGAGGAUUUUACCUAUCUGGCAAGUUUGAAAAAUAAUAAGUUUAAUAUAUAGAAUUGUUGUCCCUUGGUUAAUGUAGUUCUCAAUGAAGUAUUACCAUUGUGUCAUGUUUCUCCUAAACUUUUUUUUUUUUUUAGUAGGUAGGAAUAAAAUAGUGAUAUUAAAUUUUUUAACUAAUUAGCUGGCAUAUGUACGGUUAUAGAGUUAUAAAAGCAGUGGGAUGGCAUAGCUCAGAUAAUUUGGUCCUGGAAGAAUUAGAUGAGAAAUGUUUGCGUUCAUAUUGAAUUUUUUAUUGCAGAUAUCAUUGUCUCGUAUAUGAGUGCAGUUUGUGGCAUUGAGAUCUCUUUUGAAACUAAAGGAGACAGAUUAGAUCACUGAGGUCUUUUUCUGUGGAGAAUAAACUAAGAAGAAGGAGACCUAAGCAGAAGUAUCCAUUUGCUCUAGAUUUAACCUCAUUACUGUCUAGGAAAAACAAUCUAUAGUAAAAUUAGAUUUGUUUUUCUUUCCUAUGAAAAGUUUCUUCUAAUUUUUUAUUGGCUCUUACAGAGAUUAUGUCCAUGGAACAGUCAGAGUGUCUGCCUUUUUCCUGUACGCUCUUUUCUGGAAGUGUGGCGGUGAGCUCAGAUGAAAGAAUGUAACCCUGCCGGGGUUGGUGGUUGGAGGGGGGAACUUUCCCCUCGGCUACAGCAGAGGCCUGCACUUUCUCUGAACUUUCUCUCAAUUUUCAUGUGGUGACUCCAGCCACUGUCCUUUUUGACGCCAUGCAUCAUUUUUGUCCCUGUGCCCACAGUUUUAUCACCUUCAUUUUGUUUCUCACCCCAGUUCCUGGACAAACAAUGAUUAUCACUACUGUGCCGAGCAGAAUUCAAAUUAUGCCCAUAUAAUGCACCAACCAGAUGCCAACAUGUGACAGACUUGUUAAGGUCUUCGUAGCUUCCGGGUGAAGCUAAAUGACCUCAGCUUAAGCAAUCUGUCUACUCGUCAGAUCAUAUCGAGCCAAGGACUUCAAGUAGAAGGACGUGUAACAGGAACAGAAAGAGUUAACAUUUUUCAAAUGCAUGACCGGUGAUUCAUUCGUGAUACAAAUAUAAACACAAGCCUUUCAAAAAAAUUGUCCCUCUGCUUUGAGGCAAUGGAGGGACGUUUCCCCUCAUUUGCAAAGACUGACUCAUAUUGAUGCCUGGGGCAGAACCAGGGGUGAUACAAUAGAUCCUUUCUGAAGCUUUAAAUAAGGACAGAAAAAAAAACAGAUGUUUUGUGUUCAGCACGAGCCAGUGUUUUGUUUUGUGUGGUUGUAUGUUAUGUGCAAUGAGGUAUUCAAAUUACUCACUUCUGUCGACUGCAUCAUGAUACACCUAUAAAGUGUAUCAACCUGUGGUUGACGUGCCUACAUUCUGAUGUUUGGAGAAUCAGUUUCCACUCAGUGGGUGUUACUUGCACAUUUAAAUAUGAAACGAUGCAUUCAGAGGCUGUUCUGAUGGUAUCAAAAAGCAGAAGUGCAGACAAUGCUCUGCCUCUGGAAAUGCAGAUGCUGCAGAAAUACAAAGAUGUAAGUUUGAUGUCAUCGCAGAGUGAUGGUCAUCAACAGAGCACAUUACUUUUUUCCUGGGUUUGUCCCUGUUGGAUGAUAUUUUCUUGAUUCUAGUUGAGUAUGUACUUUUGUUGCUGGAUGUGUCACUUCUAAUCUGAAAUGUAUUGAUCAUUGUGGGCCAUGUCUAAUAAUAACAAUUUAUUUCUGUAUGAUCCAAGAAAAGUUUUUAGGAUGCUUGUUUUUAGAAUUAUAUAUUAUUAUGUAUACAUUUUUGUAAUUAAUUUUGCAAUAUUUAUAUUAUUAUCUUGAUGCAUUUUAGUUACUAUACUCAUAUAUUAUAGUUAUAUACUGAGAUAUAAAGUUUUUUAUGAAUAUUUUGAAUUAGUUUUUAUUUUUAUAUUUUAUGUUUUAAUUUUCAUUUUAGUUAAGUUUUAGUAAUUUUGUUUGUUGUUUUAGUGGUUUAAAUUUUUCAUAUAAUUGUGUCUAAUAUUUUUGUUAUUAAUUUUUAUUUAAGUUUU